UCUUGGUCAUUUAGAGGAAGUAAAAGUCGUAACAAGGUCUCCGUUGGUGAACCAGCGGAGGGAUCAUUACUGAGUUCUAGCAACUCCCAACCCUGUGAACUAUACCAUUUUUGUUCUCGUUGCUUCUGGCAGGCGGCGGCCCUCUCUGGAGGGCGCGGCCUGCCUGCCAGAGGCGGCUUGCACGAACCUUCUAUUUUUCUUACCUGACCGUCUGAGUACGAUUUUCAAUCAAAUCAAAACUUUCAACAACGGAUCUCUUGGCUCUGGCAUCGAUGAAGAACGCAGCGAAAUGCGAUAAGUAAUGUGAAUUGCAGAAUUCAGCGAAUCAUCGAAUCUUUGAACGCACAUUGCGCCUGCCAGCAUUCUGGCAGGCAUGCCUGUCCGAGCGUCAUUUCCACCCUCAUGCGCCCUGUCUGCGCGUGGUGUUGGGGCUCUGCUCUCCCUGCCCUGGUGCGGGAGAGGCCCUGAAAGCGAGUGGCGGGCCGCCUGGUUGGCUCCGAGCGCAGUAGAAACGCACUGUUUUUUUCAUCGCUCUGGACGUCGCCGGCGGCGCCUGCCGUCAAAACGCACAAUGACGUGCAACUUUUUACAAGGUUGACCUCGGAUCAGGUAGGACUACCCGCUGAACUUAAGCAUAUCAAUAAGCGGAGGAA
rnacentral:rRNA from 1 species